GGAUCUGAGAGAAAACUAGCUGUGACAUCUGUCAACGCAUUGAUUUCCAGGGUUGAUGCAGAUGGUCUGAGCUGAUCUCCGGUCUCUUUUACCACACCAUUUGUGUCCCUUCCAGACUUACAUGCUCAUUCAAAGUGAAUGACCUUCUGAAAGAGGAUCAGUCAUGAAGGGCAUUUAAAAGAUAUAUUCCCUUUCUGUAACUUCUAGACUUGUUCAUAAUUUAUUCAAAGAUAUAAAUCUGUAGAACAAAAUAGACAACCUUUGGUUGGGGUGAAUCUUUUAUUGAGA
rfam:Gorilla gorilla gorilla genomic chromosome, chr2A, whole genome shotgun sequence